rnacentral:lncRNA from 1 species
UCACGGUCACCUGAACAUAGAAAAUGAUAGUUCGAGUGGGGCAUCCGGGUACUGGGGUCACAUUCUUGUUUAUAAGGUAUCUCCCUGUAGUACACCUUAAGGUGGUAUGGGAGUCUAAAAUAAAAUUAUGAUAGAAUUUUUUCAUACUUUGCCAAAACGUAGAAUAUAUGUUCCAAACUUUAUAGUAAAAAUGAUAGAUCACCGCGCA